GUGCUCACUUUCUCAGCACACAUACUAAAACUGGGCAACACAAAUUAGCAUGGUCUUUGCACAAGAAAUACACACAGAUUCGUUACAUGUUUCAUGUUAUU
rnacentral:snRNA from 1 species